UACGAAGGGGGCUAGCGUUGUUCGGAAUUACUGGGCGUAAAGGGCGCGUAGGCGGCUCUGAUCGUCGGAUGUGAAAGGCCUGGGCUCAACCUGGGAAUGGCAUUGGAAACUGGCGGACUCGAGUGUGGCAGAGGGGGGUGGAAUUCCGCGUGUAGCAGUGAAAUGCGUAGAGGUGCGGAGGAACACCGAUGGCGAAGGCAGCCCCCUGGGCUAACACUGACGCUCAGGCACGAAAGCGUGGGGAGCAAACAGG
rnacentral:rRNA from 1 species